UUUUUUUUUUAAAGAAAAGGUGUGGCUAUGAAAAAAUUUAUUGGAUCUUAAUUUGCAAAAUUAGUUCUGGUUCAUUUUAUUGCCGUAAUUUAAUACUUAUAAUGAUUUUCUGACACAUAUGUUUUAGCAGCAAGAUCUCCUUCCUGUUCAUUUUUCAUUUCUGUACAGCUGAAGUCUGUUAGGUAGGACGGUACAAAUCAGGGAGAGAAGAACCUCGCAAGAAAUUGACUUCAUGCUGACAUCUUAGCAUCCUCUGAGACACGCGCUGAGCCCCUGUAAGCGGAAAGUAGUCACAGCCGGAGAUUUGGGGCAGAAGGACACAGGCAAGCAAUCCUUCUUGGAAAAGGGAUUACUUUUUUUUUUCUUUUUUUUCUUUUUUUGCCGUAUCAUCAGCAACCUCUUCAUUGUCGUCAUCAUCAUUAUUGCAAUUUUUGUCCAAGAGCGCUGUGAGAUGCAUCCUAUUUGAACCCGUCUCCCUCGAGCUGUAGCAGGGACAGCCUGCCCAAGUAAGCUGCCAAUUAACACUCAGAAGACGCAGGUCAUGGACGCAGAGGAGCUAAGGUCAAGGGACUCUGAGGGGGUGCUUCCCAUCCUGACCUGGGUGCUAGGGAGGGCAUCCCGGAGGAGAGGGCCCCCGGGGUUGAAUCCUGCAGGUGGUUCCUUAGGGCAGCGACUGUGUCUUUUUGUUUUUGUAUACACACCUGUGACGCGGAAGGCACGUGGUAAAUAUUUGCAGAGAGAACAAACGAAGGUUUACUCUCUUUUUAAAUCUCCCCGAUGCCGAGUACUAGCUGGGAAGGAUGUGAUAUAAGUGCCUUAGUUCAGGCCCUUUGGCUACGCAUUCUUGGAACUCGAAGUGUUUGGAGCUUCAGGACGUCAUUAGCUCCUUCCAUUCUGUUCCCCUCCUUUGACCAAGUGACUGGUUCGAAGCCAUUUGCUUUUCUAAGAGACGGAGCUGGGAUAGAGUGUCUCUUGCCUUCCAGAAACGAGAACUCACGUUUUUCGCAGAUGGAGAGACGCGCCCAUUAUAAAGAUCAGGAGAGUGGAGGCCCAGAGAGAUGUGAAUCACCCACUCCGAGUCACAGGCAUCAGCUCGAAGCCUAGAUUGAAAACAAACCUCAUCGAUUUCAAAGUCUGUCCUGUCCAUGUCACUGACCCAGCUAAACUUUACGGGACUACAUUUUCCCCUACACUUCUCUCCCUGACUUCAGCUCGCUGAUGAUGGGCUGUGUGUGAGUGUCUGGGUAAGUCAGCCGAUUCUGAAUUCAGGCUGUCUGCUUUCCCGUCCUGCCUGCACCACUUACUGGCCUUGCGACCUUGGGCCAGGGAACUAAAUUCUCCGUGCCUCAGUUUCCUCAUCUGUAAAGAGGGGCAUGUUAGGCAGGGCUGUUCAGAGAAACAGAACAGAUAGGAUGUGUGUGUGCACAUGUAAACACAUACACACACACAAUCCUAUUUCUAUGUAUAGAAAUCGAUGUAUUUUAAGGAAUCGGUUUGAGUGAUGAGGGAGGCUUGACAACUUUGGAAUCUGCAGGCAGGCCAACAGGCUGAGAGAAGACCCAGGGAGAAGCUAAUGUUGCGGCCGGAGUUUGAAGGCAGUCUGGAGGCAGAGAUUCCUUUUCCUUGGGGGAACCUCAGUUUUUUUUG